rnacentral:snRNA from 1 species
GGGGGUGGGGGUGGGGGAGAGUCCCCUUCCUCCCUUACCACUCCACAUGCAUUUCUCCAGAAGCUGUGUGUGGCAUUGAAGAGAAUAAACCUUCCCUGAACAGAAGAACUGGCCUUCCAUCAAAGGUCCGUGGGUAGCGGUGCUCUCCUGCUAGAACCCCCAAACAAGCUAUCAAAGCUCAAAGGGGUUGGGGGAGUUACCCACAAGGGUA